UUAUGUCUGAAGUUCAGUAAGUUUUGCUUAUGGUUGCUGUAUAAACAUAUUUAUACAGCAACCAUAAGCAAAACUUACUGAACUUCAGACAUAA
rnacentral:miRNA from 1 species